UUGGAAAACGGCAGGAGUGUUUCCCUGCUUGCAGAACAGUUGAUUGAAUCCCUUCCAGAUCUUUGGAAAUGUGGCAUCCUGUGGGACAUAGAUGUCCUUUAGUGGCAAUCAGCAGUGAGCUGAGAGAGAAUGGUCCUGCUUGGCCUGGAAUGGUGCCCGUGCGCUCGGCGCUUUCUUCUCUUCCACUCCUGUUUACCCGUGGUUGCACGGAAGGAGAUGCAGCAGAGCUUGCUGUCUCAGCUGUCCUGUGCAUGCCAGUGGAGAUGGAUCCAGACCUCGCUUCCCACGAGUCUCCUUGUGACCUGACACACCUGUUAGUUGUUCAGCGUUGCCAAAACCCUCACUGUCCACUGAACGUUUGUGUAGGAGAAUCCUGGCCUCACCUUUUGCUGUUCUUCUGCAGUUCCACCUCAUGAGCACCUUUCCUACAGCUGGGGAAAAGGCUGGCAAACAAACAGUACAAAGACCACACCUUGGUUCUUGAGAGUCACAGCACUGUGUUUAUUGCAGGGAGUGCAAGCCAACUGCUUGUUGGAGCAAUCUCUCACCUGAGAGCAGCCAGUCUGACUGACCUUUUUUUCUCUUCCAUCUCUAAGAAGAUCCAUUGGGUGGGGAAGCUGUGCGUCAGUCUGCAAGACUUCUGCCCCAGCCGUGCAGGUGGAGCAAGGAAAGGCUCCCGCUUCUGCUGACCUCCUUUGCAGCAGCUUGCUCUCAUCCUCCUGCGUAACCCGGGAUUGGACUCGCUCAGUAUCCUGGGAGGGAGCUUGUCAAGAAGGACUCAGUGUGCUGGGCAGCCAAGUGCAGCCAUGUGGCCUGGUAUUUUCAGGGCAGAUCACGGCACACCUGUAACGAAUCCUGAGUUGAUGGCAGCGGUCGCGCCGGUAGAGUUUGGGGCUCUCCUCACAAGAGCUGUGUACGUAAUGCCUCCGUCAUUUCUGAGGGAGGAAGGCCGGCUGAUGGAAUCCUUUGGACUGCGUGCCUCUGGCACUGAUGUUGGUUCUCUUGUGGAAACAAGGAACAGAGUCUGUUUUCAGCUCUGCAGAGCAGAAGAGCAGCUCUCAGGCUUUGUAAAAACUGGCACCACUGGGAGAACUUGACUGCUUGAACCUUCGGCUUGACUGUAUGUGGAAGGCAAGUGCGUGUUACUUUUCCCUGUCCUCAGUUUGAGGUGGUGGCUUGGCUUUUUUUCUUCUCCAAAAGUCAGUAACGUAGCUGAAGAAAGUACAAGCUUUUCUGCACAAAUUCGCCCUUGAUCUUUAGUAGCAAACUGGGAACAACAGAUUUGGUUAACGUAAAGUGCUCUGCCUAAAACUUUCAAAU